rnacentral:rRNA from 1 species
GUAGGUGGCAAGCGUUGUCCGGAAUUAUUGGGCGUAAAGCGCACGCAGGCGGUUCUCUAAGUCUGAUGUGAAAGCCCACGGCUCAACCGUGGAGGGUCAUUGGAAACUGGAGAACUUGAGUACAGAAGAGGAAAGCGGAAUUCCACGUGUAGCGGUGAAAUGCGUAGAGAUGUGGAGGAACACCAGUGGCGAAGGCGGCUUUCUGGUCUGUAACUGACGCUGAGGCGCGAAAGCGUGGGGAGCAAACAGGAUUAGAUACCCUGGUAGUCCACGCCGUAAACGAUGAGUGCUAAGUGUUAGGGGGGUUUCCGCCCCCCUUAGUGCUGCAGCUAACGCAUUAAGCACUCCGCCUGGGAGUACGGCCGCAAGGCUG